UUGGAAAUUCACAGAAAAAAGGCGGUUACACCUUUGGACAUGAAUCGCUUUCAGAGUAGAGCCUUCCGUGCUGUCAUUUCACAGCACAGCAGGCAGGACCCCACCUCUCCACCAGUACAGCAGCCACUUACGAAGGAGCCCUCCUUACACCUGGACACACCAUCAAAGUUUCUGUCCAAUGACAAGCAUUUCAAGCCAUCCUUUGAUGUGACGGAUGCACUUGCAGCCCUGGAAACCCCAAAUGCUGCCAGCCAGAAGCGGAAACUAAGCUCACCACUCUCUGAAGUCAUCGUCAGAAACCUGACAGUUGCUUUGGCAAAUAGUUCCCGAAACACUGACAGUCAUUCUGCCAGCCCUCAGCUGAAGGGUGCCCAUUUGGAGGAGAAAGAGACUCGGAAACCACUUGACAGCGUUGUGGUGUGUGUGAGUAAGAAGCUCAGUAAGAAGCAGAGUGAGCUCAAUGGGGUUGCAGCAUCACUGGGAGCAGAGUACAGGUGGAGUUUCCAUGAGACCGUUACUCAUUUCAUUUACCAGGGUCGGGCAAAUGACAGUAAUCGAGAAUAUAAAUCUGCAAAGGAAAGAGGGGUGCACGUCUUGUCCGAGCAUUGGUUAUUAGAGACAGAUCAUCUGUCUGUAGAAGGAAAUGAGACAAACACUAUGGGCACAAAUGACAAAGAGUCACCUCUGUUGAAUGGGAGUGGAAGAGAUGACUGUAAAGGAGCUCUGACCCAGGCCUUGGAGAUGAGAGAGACCUUCCAGAAGCAGCUGCAAGAGAUCAUGUCAGCCACCUGCAUUGUGAAGACGCCUGCCCAGAAGACUUGCACGCCAAGAAGCAGUUGUAACAGUGCUGCUUCAACUCCUGACAGCACUCGGUCUGUUCGGAGUGGACGAAGCCGAGUCCUGGAGGCACUCAGGCAGUCUCGACAGGUAGUACCUGAUGUGAACACAGAGCCCUCCCAAAAUGAGCAGAUCAUUUGGGAUGACCCAACAGCAAGGGAAGAGAGAGCAAGGCUCGCUAGCAACUUACAGUGGCCCAGCUACCCAACACAGUAUUCUGAGCUUCAGGUUGAGAUUAAAAAACUGGAUGAUUCUCCUUCUCGAAAGCCUGUAUACCAUUCAGAAAUUGCUGAGCAGGCCUCGUGUGUUACUCAAGCCCCAGGGCACCCAGGCUCUGAAGAACCAGAGCCUCCAACAGCAGAAAGGUGUCUGAUCCCGGAGCUGCAAGCCCCCGCUGUAGCUUCCCCACUGGCUAAGCCGCCUGUGGCCCCACAACCUGCAGACAAGAUUGAAACACUGGAGGAUACGCACAGAAAAGUUAAAAAACAGUAUGUGUUCCAGAUGUCGUCUCUGAAUUCUCAAGAGCGGAUUGACUACUGUCGCCUGAUUAAAGACUUAGGUGGGUCGGUGAUCGAGAAGCAGAGCUCUGACCCCAGCUGCACACACAUGGUUGUGGGCUACCCACUGCGCAAUGAGAAGUACUUAGCUUCUAUGGCAGCUGGUAAAUGGGUGCUUCAUCGUUCCUACCUAGACGCUUGCAAGACAGCUGGGCACUUUGUGCAGGAAGAAGACUACGAGUGGGGAAGUAGCUCCAUACUUGAUGCUCUCCCUGACGUCACUGAGCACCAGCAGAAGCUUGCACUUGCGGCAAUGAGAUGGAGGAAAAGAAUCCAGCAAAGUAAAAAAUCAGGCAUUGUUGAGGGAGCAUUUAGUGGCUGGAAAGCUAUUUUACGUGUUGAUCGGCCCUGAGAAGCCGGGUUCAAGCGCCUUCUUCAGGCAGGGGGAGCAAAGGUGUUACCUGGUCAUCCAGAACCUUUACUUAAAGAUGCUACACAUCUCUUUUGUGACUUCAAUAAACUGAAACCUGAUGACUGCAGAGUUUUCAUCGCAGAGGCUACUGCCCAGAACAUGGUCUGCUUGAAAACAGAAUAUAUCGCUGAUUAUCUCAUGCUGGAAUCCCCUCCUUGUGCAGAUAAUUACCAUGUAUCCGAAGCUGCUUUAUUCCAUAAUAAGAAAGGUGGGCCUGGAUUACCACAGAAGAGGAAAACUCCUGCAGAGAAUGUAGUCAAACGGCCUCGAGUACACUGAUGUACUUAACCACCCAACAACGAAUGUUUUUGAGUUUAGUGUGCUUGCUGGAAAUUUUUCAGCUACAACCUGAACAUUGCUGUGAUGCAUUUGUGUAGCAGUUUAAAGGCAUACAUCUGAAGGACUUUGCUUCAGAUUCUAAUGAUCCUGUAAACUGGAUGCCUUUAACCUAAAUUUGAAUCACUGGAUAUUGACUAUUCCUAAUGAGGCUGAAAUAGUUUUAACAAGAUUUGUUUCAAAAAUGUCGUAGUUCAUAAAAGCAAAAGUUAUACAUUAGGGUUAUUUCAUGUUUUCCUGAUUUUUAUAUAUGUAUUCUUGCCAUUUAACCUCUUUUUAACAGCCUGAGCAGGGAGUUUAACAAUGAAGCUAGGGCUCUAAACUUAAAAAACAUGUAUAUAUGUAAAUGUGUGUAUGUAUAAACUUCUAUCAUUUGCCAAACUUGGGCACCAAAACUUUGAGAUAAAGAAUAAAAAAUAG